GAUGAACGCUGGCGGCGUGCCUAAUACAUGCCAGUCGAGCGAACAGACGAGGAGCUUGCUCCACUGACGUUAACGGCGGACGUGUGAGUAACACGAGCAUAACCUACCUAUAGGACUGGGAUAACUUCGGGAGACCGGAGCUGAUACCGGCUAAUCUAUUCAACCGCAUGGUUCAAUAGUGAAAGACGGUUUUGCUGUCGCUGCGGGAUGGGUCCGCGGCGCAUCAGCGAGUUGGUAAGGUGCCGGCCUACCAAGGCCACGAUGGGUAGCCGGCCUGAGAGGGUGUCCGGCCACACUGGGAAUGAGAUACGGCCCAGACUCCUACGGGAGGCAGCAGUGGGGAAUAUUGCACAAUGGGCGCAAGCCUGAUGCAGCGACGCCGCGUGGGGGAUGACGGCCUUCGGGUUGUAAACCCCUUUCAGCACAGACGAAGCGUAAGUGACGGUAUGUGCAGAAGAAGCACCGGCCAACUACGUG
rnacentral:rRNA from 1 species